rnacentral:misc_RNA from 1 species
UCUCCGUUGGUGAACCAGCGGAGGGAUCAUUACCGAGUGCAAACUCAUAACCCUUUGUGAACCUAUAUCUGUUGCUUCGGCGGCUCGCUCUCGGGCGAGCCCGCCGGUAAUAUCAGUAUCUCUGUUUGAACCAGACGAUACUUCUGAGUGUUCUUAGCGAACAGUUAAAACUUUUAACAACGGAUCUCUUGGCUCUA